AAGCUUUGGUUUCUCUUCAAAGUGUAAAAAUCUUUCGCCUUUUACUAAAGAGUUCUGUGGAGAGAAGCUGUGUUGAGUUUUUAGAUAAUUUUUUGAAGUCUCGUUCUUCCGAGGCU
rnacentral:snRNA from 1 species